GGCGCGGUGGCGGAGAGGCUACGCAGCGGAUUGCAAAUCCGUGUACACCGGUUCAAAUCCGGUCCGCGCCUCCA
rnacentral:tRNA from 1 species